rnacentral:sRNA from 1 species
CACAGAUGUAUACCCACCUCUGUGUGCACACUCACCUCUGUGUGUACACCACCUCCUCUCUGGAAGGAGCUUUCUCUGUGAAAGGGGAACUAGGGAAGUGAGGGUCAGAGGAGAGAGGAGGAUUCAGUCUUUACUAUAUACACAUUUGCACUGUAAGCAUUUUGUUUAAAAUUAUUAUAAAACCUCCAAUAACUUUUAUCUCAAUUUGCAAUGUAAUAUUCCUCAAUGGAAUUUUUUUACACAUGUUCUUAGGUCAGGUUCCCUAGAAGCAGACCCUAAAACAAGUAUUCAUGUGCAAGUAACUUAUUAAGGAUGUGCUGCCAGUGAGGGAGCGGGGAAGUCGUACAACAAAGUAGAAGCAGCCCAGGAAGGACACAAUUUUAAGAACAUCCCGUGACCAGCGGCUUAGUCUGAUCCUGUGGGGAGCUCUGAGGGCAGAAGAGUACUAGAGGCCCUCUCCAGAGACAAGAAGAAAAAGAAUUUCAGAGGCUCAGAGGAAAGUUCAAUAUGGCCCCAUGGCAAG